AUACGGAGGAUGCGAGCGUUAUCCGGAUUUAUUGGGUUUAAAGGGUGCGCAGGCGGGCGAUUAAGUCAGCGGUGAAAGGCUCGGGCUCAACCGGAGCAGUGCCGUUGAUACUGGUUGUCUUGAAUGCGGUCAAGGCCGGCGGAAUGUGGCGUGUAGCGGUGAAAUGCAUAGAUAUGCCAAAGAACACCGAUAGCCAAGGCAGCUGGCCGGGCCUGCAUUGACGCUGAGGCACGAAAGCGUGGGGAGCGAACAGGAUUAGAUACCCUGGUAGUCCACGCUGUAAACGAUGGACACUCGUUGUCGGCGACAGACAGUCGGCGGCCAAGCGAAAGUGAUAAGUGUCCCACCUGGGGAGUACGGUCGCAAGGCUGAAACUCAAAUGAAUUGACGGGG
rnacentral:rRNA from 1 species